rnacentral:rRNA from 1 species
CGUAGGUGAACCUGCGGAAGGAUCAUUACCGAGUGCGGGCUGCCUCCGGGCGCCCAACCUCCCACCCGUGACUACCUAACACUGUUGCUUCGGCGGGGAGCCCCCUAGGGGCGAGCCGCCGGGGACCACUGAACUUCAUGCCUGAGAGUGAUGCAGUCUGAGCCUGAAUACAAAUCAGUCAAAACUUUCAACAAUGGAUCUCUUGGUUCCGGCAUCGAUGAAGAACGCAGCGAACUGCGAUAAGUAAUGUGAAUUGCAGAAUUCAGUGAAUCAUCGAGUCUUUGAACGCACAUUGCGCCCCCUGGCAUUCCGGGGGGCAUGCCUGUCCGAGCGUCAUUGCUGCCCUCAAGCCCGGCUUGUGUGUUGGGUCGUCGUCCCCCCCGGGGGACGGGCCCGAAAGGCAGCGGCGGCACCGUGUCCGGUCCUCGAGCGUAUGGGGCUUUGUCACCCGCUCGAUUAGGGCCGGCCGGGCGCCAGCCGGCGUCUCCAACCUUAUUUUUCUCAGGUUGACCUCGGAUCAGGUAGGGAUACCCGCUGAACUUAAGCAUAUCAAUAAGCGGAGGAAAAGAAACCAACCGGGAUUGCCUCAGUAACUG